rnacentral:rRNA from 2 species
UUGAAGAGUUUGAUCAUGGCUCAGAUUGAACGCUGGCGGCAGGCCUAACACAUGCAAGUCGAACGGUAACAGGAAGCAGCUUGCUGCUUUGCUGACGAGUGGCGGACGGGUGAGUAAUGUCUGGGAAACUGCCUGAUGGAGGGGGAUAACUACUGGAAACGGUAGCUAAUACCGCAUAACGUCGCAAGACCAAAGAGGGGGACCUUCGGGCCUCUUGCCAUCGGAUGUGCCCAGAUGGGAUUAGCUAGUAGGUGGGGUAACGGCUCACCUAGGCGACGAUCCCUAGCUGGUCUGAGAGGAUGACCAGCCACACUGGAACUGAGACACGGUCCAGACUCCUACGGGAGGCAGCAGUGGGGAAUAUUGCACAAUGGGCGCAAGCCUGAUGCAGCCAUGCCGCGUGUAUGAAGAAGGCCUUCGGGUUGUAAAGUACUUUCAGCGGGGAGGAAGGGAGUAAAGUUAAUACCUUUGCUCAUUGACGUUACCCGCAGAAGAAGCACCGGCUAACUCCGUGCCAGCAGCCGCGGUAAUACGGAGGGUGCAAGCGUUAAUCGGAAUUACUGGGCGUAAAGCGCACGCAGGCGGUUUGUUAAGUCAGAUGUGAAAUCCCCGGGCUCAACCUGGGAACUGCAUCUGAUACUGGCAAGCUUGAGUCUCGUAGAGGGGGGUAGAAUUCCAGGUGUAGCGGUGAAAUGCGUAGAGAUCUGGAGGAAUACCGGUGGCGAAGGCGGCCCCCUGGACGAAGACUGACGCUCAGGUGCGAAAGCGUGGGGAGCAAACAGGAUUAGAUACCCUGGUAGUCCACGCCGUAAACGAUGUCGACUUGGAGGUUGUGCCCUUGAGGCGUGGCUUCCGGAGCUAACGUGUUAAGUCGACCGCCUGGGGAGUACGGCCGCAAGGUUAAAACUCAAAUGAAUUGACGGGGGCCCGCACAAGCGGUGGAGCAUGUGGUUUAAUUCGAUGCAACGCGAAGAACCUUACCUGGUCUUGACAUCCACGGAAGUUUUCAGAGAUGAGAAUGUGCCUUCGGGAACCGUGAGACAGGUGCUGCAUGGCUGUCGUCAGCUCGUGUUGUGAAAUGUUGGGUUAAGUCCCGCAACGAGCGCAACCCUUAUCCUUUGUUGCCAGCGGUCCGGCCGGGAACUCAAAGGAGACUGCCAGUGAUAAACUGGAGGAAGGUGGGGAUGACGUCAAGUCAUCAUGGCCCUUACGACCAGGGCUACACACGUGCUACAAUGGCGCAUACAAAGAGAAGCGACCUCGCGAGAGCAAGCGGACCUCAUAAAGUGCGUCGUAGUCCGGAUUGGAGUCUGCAACUCGACUCCAUGAAGUCGGAAUCGCUAGUAAUCGUGGAUCAGAAUGCCACGGUGAAUACGUUCCCGGGCCUUGUACACACCGCCCGUCACACCAUGGGAGUGGGUUGCAAAAGAAGUAGGUAGCUUAACCUUCGGGAGGGCGCUUACCACUUUGUGAUUCAUGACUGGGGUGAAGUCGUAACAAGGUAACCGUAGGGGAACCUGCGGUUGGAUCACCUCCUU